CAGUCGCCGCGGGAAUACGUAGGUGGCAAGCGUUGUCCGGAUUUAUUGGGCGUAAAGCGAGCGCAGGCGGUUUCUUAAGUCUGAUGUGAAAGCCCCCGGCUCAACCGAGGAGGGUCAUUGGAAACUGGGAAACUUGAGUGCAGAAGAGGAGAGUGGAAUUCCAUGUGUAGCGGUGAAAUGCGUAGAUAUAUGGAGGAACACCAGUGGCGAAGGCGGCUCUCUGGUCUGUAACUGACGCUGAGGCUCGAAAGCGUGGGGAGCAAACAGGAUUAGAUACCCGUGUAGUCCCUGUCUCUUAUAC
rnacentral:rRNA from 1 species